GGCCCAGUGGUGUACUGGUAACAUGUCCUCCUUUACUAAGCUGAGAUUGAGUUGAACUUUGGGGAAGCAUCCUGUUUGAUUCGGGGCUGGGCCA